UGCUCCAAAUCGAUCGUUUCUUCUUUAAACGAAAUCGUUCUAAAAGAAAAAUCGCGUUGUGAUAUUGAAAUAUCGUAAAAGUUGAAAGCAUCGGGUGAACUUGGUUAACAGUGAUCGUAAGGAAACGUAGAAACACGGGACCAGUGAUCGAAUAUUGAGUGAUCUGAGUAGUGAAUCGCGUUCAACCCGAAGGAGGAAAAAGGAAGGAAAGCGAAAGGUGUGGGACGACGAAGCGGGGAAAUGAAACCGAUAAGGCGAUUCGAGGCUAACCUUCGUGGCAGAGAAAGAGAAAAGUGAAUUGGGGCAAAGGUCUCUGACAUCGUGGCUGGCCGUGGGAGAGAAACAAGCCGAAGAGAAGUGGUACGACCGGCUGUCAGAGGGGAGAGAGUUCUCUCUCUUUCUCUCAACCGAGGGUAAUUUUGAAUAUCGCAUUGUCGAAGGGAUUCUCGAAAAGUUUAACGAAAGGAAAGGAAAGGAAAGGAUUCGAAAGGAAACGAAGAACGUUCCAUUUUUGAAUUUUAAUAAUUUUGAAAAAUUGGAAACGAGGGAAGAAGAUAAUAAUUGAUUUUCCAUAAGAAGGAUCAAGGAGGAAAGAACGUUUAUUACGAGAGAUAACUCGAAGAAAUAUGUACGGAGAAGAAGGUAUGAUCAAGUUUGAAGAUUUAGGAAGCGAUUAGAUUAGAUUAGAA